rnacentral:rRNA from 1 species
CAAUAGCGUAUAUUUAAGUUGUUGCAGUUAAAAAGCUCGUAGUUGGAUUUCGGUUAAGAGCGACCGGUCCGCCGUUUGGUGUGCACUGGUUGGUUUUAACUUCCUGUAGAGGACGUGCUCUGGGUUUAACGACCUGGACUCGGAGUCUACGUGGUUACUUUGAAAAAAUUAGAGUGUUCAAAGCGGGCUUACGCUUGAAUAUUUCAGCAUGGAAUAACACUAUAGGACUCCUGUCCUAUUUCGUUGGUCUCGGGACGGGAGUAAUGAUUAAGAGGAACAGUUGGGGGCAUUCGUAUUUCAUUGUCAGAGGUGAAAUUCUUGGAUUUAUGAAAGACGGACUACUGCGAAAGCAUUUACCAAGGAUGUUUUCAUUA